rnacentral:lncRNA from 1 species
CUGAGUCAUCCUAAACACAGAGGUCAAAAGGAUGAAUUAUACAGUAACCAUAUUCACGUAGGUUUUGAGUGUUGCGAUUAUGACCAUUCGACCUAUCCGAUCAUCGGGUACCAUUGCUAGAUGGUCACUUCGAUUAGUACAGGAAUUGGUUCCUGUGCUACCGGCUUAGGUUCGAACCUACGGGGUCACACACAUUAGAGGUUCCUAUCUGAUCUGAUGG